UUGACAGAAACGCGAGUGUUGCAUGUUCCUUUAUUAGACAGGGGGUGAACCGAGCUCCUGGAGAUUCAGAAUGUGAUACGGCAGCAGUUCAAAGGACAGAGCCAUUGAAGAAAGAAGUCUGACAGGAAAUGAGGACCAGAGGGACAAUUAUUGCACCUCUAAUGGUGGUUUUAAAUGUUUCCACUUCUCAGAGAGAGCUCUUACUCCCUGCCAUGGGAGUGACACCAUAUAAAGUGCAGGAGCAACACUGAGA